UGGGACACUGAGGCUCAUCAAGGCUUCCACUGAACAACAAAGGAGAUUUGGGGAAUGAAGCCAGCAUCCGGGGGUGGCCUCCAAGCACCCGUGGCCGUGGGAAUCUUGUCUGCAAGGUGCCCUCCUGAUGCUCUCCUGCUCUGCAUGCACCUGUCGCAUCGCUGCAGGCUUUGUGUAAGGACCGAACGAGAUGAUGCGUGUAGAGGCUUGGAGCCCAGUGCACAGGAAGUGCUCAGCGGUCUUUGCGAGUUAACUUACGCCAGAAGAGGAACAAUCGCUACCCACGGGGCCCAUCCCAUAGGGGCCAGGACACAGCGUGCGUCAGGGCUGUGACGGAGUGAGCCCCGCAGACGGUUCAGACGGGACGUGGUCCAGCUGCUAAAGAUGUCUCCAGGAGGAGAGCUUAUGGUGGAUGGCAGCAGUGAUUUUAAC